GCAUGGGUUUGGAUUUAUGGCAGGCCGUCCCCCUGGACCUCUCGUAGUGUCCCAUGCCAGAGCAAACUGUAGCCCCGAACCAUUUGCCUGGCUUUGUCCAUAGGCCUCGGCACUGAAGCGGGUUGCAAAGUG
rnacentral:snoRNA from 1 species